UAUACAGCGGGUUUGGCUCGAAAUUACUCCUGUGCAUUUCAUACCGCGCGCUUUCAAAGGACGUCUCGUGUGGCCACGAGGAACGGGAGAAACAGGGAUAAGGAGAGACGCAUUCACUCACAACAGUCUCAGCAAUUUCACGUGCUCGAGCUUUCACCGUUUGAAGUUUAACGUUUUUAUCUGAAAAUGAAAAUAAUAGCGGCGCCGAGGAGAGCUGUGCUCAGUCGAGUCGGCGGGACGAGCAUCCUCGCACGGACCAGAGUCUGGCGAGGAGGACAGAGACUUUGGUUUUUUUGAGUAUCUGGGAUCCUCGCGGUGAGGAUAGAUGGAGAGAAGGAGAUUGGAUGUAGGACCUGACCCCAUUCUGAAGGAGGGACCAAGUGGCCACACACACACACACACACACACACUCACGCACAUGCAAGCACAGGCGCUACACACACAC